UACGUAGGUCCCGAGCGUUGUCCGGAUUAUUGGGCGUAAAGCGAGCGCAGGUGGUUUAUUAAGUCUGGUGUAAAAGGCAGUGGCUCAACCAUUGUAUGCAUUGGAAACUGGUAGACUUGAGUGCAGGAGAGGAGAGUGGAAUUCCAUGUGUGGCGGUGAAAUGCGUAGAUAUAUGGAGGAACACCGGUGGCGAAAGCGGCUCUCUGGCCUGUAACUGACACUGAGGCUCGAAAGCGUGGGGAGCAAACAGG
rnacentral:rRNA from 1 species